ACAUCGAGAAAAGGCCGACGUGGCUUCAGUAUUUCUACCCGGACAGAACGAUCAAAAUGUGAGACUAGAAAUCGGGAAGAUUUACUCAAUUUUUCUUACGAUCUACGGAGAGCAGUGCUCUUCUUAACAUCGGAAAAGAUAGAAUAAGAACUGUGGGAUGUAAGAUGGCUACUACGAGAAUUAUUUUCACUGAGUUACCGGAGGGUAUCAAGAGAAGUUUCGGAGUGAUGGAACAUCAGAACAACACAGUAGUCUCGGGCGCUGCGCCGCGCAAGCGGCAAAGGCUUACGCACUUGUCCCCGGAAGAGAAAAUGCUUCGGAGGAAACUGAAGAACAGAGUAGCAGCCCAGACUGCACGAGACCGCAAGAAGGCCCACAUGGACACCAUUGAGGAGACCCUUGAGAUCACGCAGCUGGCCAACCAAGAACUCAUGAAUGAGAACGAGGCCUUGAAAGACGAGAACGAGAGACUCGAGAGCGAGAACCAGGAACUCCGACGGAGACUGGGGCUGCUUGCUGAUGUCAAAGUGGAGACCAAGACAGAAGAAGAUGUGGUCGUCAUAAAGAAUGAAGUUGGAUCACCUGAGUCCGCAGCACUCAACGCACCUCCGCAGCAGGCGCAGAUCCAACUGAUUUCAGCGUGGCUGGCAACACUUCUCUGCUUGAGUCUGACAUGCUACUGGGACUGCUUGAAAAUCUGGACGCCCAAGACCCAGCGCAUUGCCAUGUCGGACGAGACUCCUUUGAAGCCGGCCAAGGCCAAGACGGUGCCUACCCAGUGGUGGGGCCCUCAACAGAAGAGUUGGAAUCCCUCAAAGAACUGAUCCGCUUCGACCAUGAGUACGUCAAGAGGCCGCCCGUGCCCACACCCGCCGUGGACAUCAAACAGGAGAAAAUGGCUCAUCUGUCCGCCGCAGAGCCAGAGACUGUAGAGCCGGAAGUAAUCUGUCUGGACAUGGAGGAAUCAGUGAUGGACUUGACUCCCAGUGCGAGUUCCCCAGCCUCGGUCGUGGAAUUCAGAAGCAACGCAGAGGCUACCUUGCAAGACAUGCUGGUCUCGCUGAAAGACGCCUCGCUGUCACUGAACACGAAAGACACCACGGUCCCCAACCUGCUGUCCAUCGACGAUGACAACGGCGUCUUCGACUGCGACAUCUCCGAUCUCCUCUCGCUGGACUCUGACAUGAAGAGUUGCGACGCCAAGAGCGAGACGGGCAGCUGUGCCGACUCGGCGUUCAGCGACAACCCUGUGUCGCCGUUCAGUGACAGCGCGGACAUGUCGCCCAACCUUGGGGACAAUAUCUGGGAGGAGUCCUUCACUGAUCUCUUCCCUUCUCUGGAUUACCUGUGAAGAAAAGACUUGAACCGGCUUUACUUUGAAAUGUGAAUGUGCUGUAUUUUACUCUGCACACAAGAACAGUACUUAUCCAAACUACAUGUGAUUAGCUUAAAGCCCAGUUGAACCUUCAUUAUUUGACAACGCUCAUUGCGCCCUCUGCAUAGUUGCCUUUAGCUUUGUAAAAAUGAAUCGCCUACUGAUUUGUUCAGCACAUGCACAUAGGGCCUACAUAUACAAAAGGUACAAUUUCGCAGAUGCCAUUUUGCCAAAACUUUAGUACAGAAAUAAUGUUAAACAUGACCCCCCCAUCUACACUUCAAAGAUAUUGCUCAUCAGUAUCUGUCCCUGUAUUUAUUUCCUUUCGGAAUAUUUAUUAUUUUACACAUAACCCAGAUUUCAUUAUGAGUGGUUGAAGAACGGUUAAAGAUUGAUUAACUGUAGUUUAAAUCAAAUUUAAAUUGCUAAUUCUAUAAAGAGCGACAUCAUGUAAAUAUGCGGCGUUGUAAUAUAGCUUGUUUUCUCCUGUUUGAUGUACAUACAAAAUAUAUGACAAAUAUUUAGAGGCGGUGACAGACAUCCGGUAUGGAUGAUUAAAAAGGGUGUUGGGAAAAUUUA